rnacentral:rRNA from 1 species
GACGAACGCUGGCGGCGUGCUUAACACAUGCAAGUCGAACGGGUCUGCCCUGUUUUUUGCGGGGUGGGUCAGUGGCGAACGGGUGAGUAACACGUGAGUAACCUGCCCCUCACUUCUGGAUAACCGCUUGAAAGGGUGGCUAAUACGGGGUGUUCUGGCUGUGCCGCAUGGUGUGGCUGGGAAAGAUUCACUUUUGUGGUGUUUUGGUGGGGGAUGGGCUCGCGGCCUAUCAGCUUGUUGGUGGGGUGAUGGCCUGCCAAGGCUUUGACGGGUAGCCGGCCUGAGAGGGUGGGCGGUCACACUGGGACUGAGAUACGGCCCGGACUCCGGCGGGAGGCAGCAGUGGGGGGUAUUGCACAAUGGGCGGAAGCCUGAUGCAGCGACGUCGCGUGAGGGAUGGAGGCCUUCGGGUUGUGAACCUCUUUCGCCGGUGAAGAAGGUCCUGCUCUUUGUGGUGGGGUUGACGGUAGCCGGGUUAUGAAGCGCCGGCUAACUACGUG